rnacentral:lncRNA from 1 species
AUGAGAGCAAACAGGCAGGAUCACAGCCCAGGAGUGAGAAAUAAGGUCUGAUGAGUCAGRUACUGGGAUUCUUUUCUGAAUAUUUAAAGACAACUAUGGUAAGGAAGAGGUCUUAGUUCAAAUAAACCAUGGCUCUGGGCUUCUUGGUGUGAAUCAACAUGAGCUUGGGCUUUCAAGACAGGUAAAUAUGGGGGGAAAGAAGAACCAGUUGCAGUAGCAGGGGAAAGAGAGCUUUCGCUGAAAGAAACUCUGAAGCACCUCAGAUUCUUCUGGCAUUAGCUACCUGGGUGGUGAAGAGGUGGAUCCUGAACACAGAAAGAACUUUAGUCCUGCAAGAGAAUGAGUUUCUAAACUCCUGCUGGUUGGAAUUAGAGGCACAAAUCUAGGGUCAUGGAACUGACCAGCUCCUGUGGUCAUACAGGAUCAGACUCAUAGCUUUGGCCUUAUUAUCCAGAGUUCUCUCAGCAGCACUGGAUGGUUCUCAGGCUACGCUGUACAUUCCAGAAUCAAUGAGUAG